GGUGGAAAGAUUUAUCGGUGCAGGAUGGGCCCGCGGCCUAUCAGCUUGUUGGUGGGGUAAUGGCCUACCAAGGCGACGACGGGUAGCCGACCUGAGAGGGUGACCGGCCACACUGGGACUGAGACACGGCCCAGACUCCUACGGGAGGCAGCAGUGGGGAAUAUUGCACAAUGGGCGAAAGCCUGAUGCAGCGACGCCGCGUGAGGGAUGACGGCCUUCGGGUUGUAAACCUCUUUCAGCAGGGACGAAGCGCAAGUGACGGUACCUGCAGAAGAAGCACCGGCUAACUACGUGCCAGCAGCCGCGGUAAUACGUAGGGUGCAAGCGUUGUCCGGAAUUACUGGGCGUAAAGAGUUCGUAGGCGGUUUGUCGCGUCGUUUGUGAAAACCAGCAGCUCAACUGCUGGCUUGCAGGCGAUACGGGCAGACUUGAGUACUGCAGGGGAGACUGGAAUUCCUGGUGUAGCGGUGAAAUGCGCAGAUAUCAGGAGGAACACCGGUGGCGAAGGCGGGUCUCUGGGCAGUAACUGACGCUGAGGAACGAAAGCGUGGGUAGCGAACAGGAUUAGAUACCCUGGUAGUCCACGCCGUAAACGGUGGGCGCUAGGUGUGGGUUCCUUCCACGGAAUCCGUGCCGUAGCU
rnacentral:rRNA from 1 species